CGCAGUAGGUGGUCUAGGAAU
rnacentral:piRNA from 1 species